AUCUUUUCAACUCUUAACUUUUAAUUCAUGCUUAUGGUAGUCUCUCCAUCUCCCCCCACUUCUUAAAUUUCAAAAUCUCUCCCUCUUUUCAAAAACUUUUCUUUGCUUGAGAUUUCAACUUUAGACAUUGUUUAAUGAUUAGAAACUUUGACCUUAUGCCGUUGAAUUUUCAAACUCUUUCUUAAAUCAAAUUUGUAAAUAAACUUAACCAUAUUGACUUAAAUUUCAAAAGACAAAAAGAACUAAUAACUCUAUUCAAAUUUUUGGCCUUUUGUG
rnacentral:lncRNA from 1 species